GGAGAGAUGGCAGAGCGGUUGAAUGCGCAGACCUGGAACGUCUGUAUACGUUAAUAGCGUAUCGAGGGUUCGAAUCCCUCUCUCUCCACCA
rnacentral:tRNA from 1 species